rnacentral:rRNA from 1 species
GACGAACGCUGGCGGCGUGCUUAACACAUGCAAGUCGAGCGGUAAGGCCCUUCGGGGUACUCGAGCGGCGAACGGGUGAGUAACACGUGAGUAACCUGCCCCUGACUUUGGGAUAACCCUCGGAAACGGGGGCUAAUACCGAAUACGACAACGCCUGGCAUGGGGUCGGGGUGGAAAGUUCUUCGGUUUGGGAUGGGCUCGCGGCCUAUCAGCUUGUUGGUGGGGGGGUGGCCUACCAAGGCGACGACGGGUAGCCGGCCUGAGAGGGCGACCGGCCACACUGGGACUGAGACACGGCCCAGACUCCUACGGGAGGCAGCAGUGGGGAAUAUUGCACAAUGGGCGGAAGCCUGAUGCAGCGACGCCGCGUGAGGGAUGACGGCCUUCGGGUUGUAAACCUCUUUCAGCAGGGACGAAGCGUAAGUGACGGUACCUGCAGAAGAAGCGCCGGCCAACUACGUG